ACUUAACGAGAGAUUAUAAAAUGUGUCUAUAUAAAUAGACUGUUUCACUAUGAUAUUGAUACGGAAGAAAUAGUUGUAUACAAAGAGGCGUAUCAAAACAAAAAAAAUCUUUUUCAACACUUGUUUUAGAAAAGGGUACCUUAGACAUGUUAACAAAAGCGUUUUGUUCGUCGAUUUAGCAUUUAUUUCCACAUGUACAGUUUCAUACUCAGGAUGGUAUGUAUUUAAGACACGGUUAGACACUGUCAAACAGAUCGGGGCUUUCAUUAAAGAGAAACGAACAUAAUUUAGAGGAACAAAAGAAUGUCGGACUCAGAGAUGCCACCUAAUAGACCUAUCUUAUUAUUUCUUGUGUUUGGUUCAUGUAUAGCAGGACUUAUUCUGCAGCUGGCUAGUGUUAUAAAUCUUUUUCAAGACUUAUGUGAUAAUGUUCCAGACGGCAGGGAGUAUUGUAAAAAGAACACAGACAAUAGCAUGAAUCAUAUCAACAGAACUGAUAAUGUUACCGCAGAUACACCUAUAGGUGUUACUUAUUUCCAAGGAUACCGGACGACUGCAGGGUUCGUGUUAUUCACUGAAUUCCUUACAUUCUUCGAAGUAGGCUGUAAAGUCUACGGCUGUGUUAAAUUUGCCGUCAGUAUAUCUCCAAAGUUUUUCUGUGUCUGGAAGUUCUUUCGUUGGUGUGGUAACUGUUGGUAUGUCAUGGUUAUAUUUGUCUCAAUAUAAGUGGAAUGGUCGCCGUGUGCUCAGUAAUCCCAUUCAGUGAUAUGAUCAAUUAUAUGGAUGGUUUCAGACUUGGAUUCGGGAACGUUUUGUUUGGAAUUGUUAGGCUUGCAUGUUGGACCGGAUAUUCAAUAUACAGACACAGUUGUUGCCCAGACUCUGACUAUUUUCUGGGGUCAAACCAGAGGUUGUCACAGUGUGAAUUAAUUGUAAUAGACACACGCAAGAAGUAAAAAACGAUACUUACCAUUCAGCAUUUUAUAGCACUGCACGAUUGUAACAUCGCUUUUCAUUGGAUAACAAGUAAAAUGGUUUCC